GACGAACGCUGGCGGCGUGCCUAAUACAUGCAAGUCGAGCGAGUCUGCCUUGAAGAUCGGAGUGCUUGCACUCUGUGAAACAAGAUACAGGCUAGCGGCGGACGGGUGAGUAACACGUGGGUAACCUGCCCAAGAGAUCGGGAUAACACCUGGAAACAGAUGCUAAUACCGGAUAACAACAGAUGAUGCCUAUCAACUGUUUAAAAGAUGGUUCUGCUAUCACUCUUGGAUGGACCUGCGGUGCAUUAGCUAGUUGGUAGGGUAACGGCCUACCAAGGCGAUGAUGCAUAGCCGAGUUGAGAGACUGAUCGGCCACAUUGGGACCGAGACACGGCCCAAACUCCUACGGGAGGCAGCAGUAGGGAAUCUUCCACAAUGGACGCAAGUCUGAUGGAGCAACGCCGCGUGAGUGAAGAAGGGUUUCGGCUCGUAAAGCUCUGUUGUUGGUGAAGAAGGACAGGGGUAGUAACUGACCUUUGUUUGACGGUAAUCAAUGAGAAAGUCACGGCUAACUAAGUG
rnacentral:rRNA from 1 species